UGCUGAUGAGGGCUGAGGAAGUCUAGUUUGCGGCUGCUGUUUGAAAGACCGAAUCCGUGGUCGAGGAUUUCGACGCCCUAGAAGAUGACUUAAGGGCAGGGGCCUCUUCAGAUGUGCCGGGAGCAGAGUUGUCGACAGCAUCAACCAGCGCUCUAGGAUGUUCCGAGGAGUCCGGCACAGGCGCGGACUUAAUCCUAUCGUGUGCAUUCACAGAGGCCACGAAGAAGAAUAAAAAUAUUUUGUUACUACUAAUAGCAAUACAGUAAUUGAGUGAUUACAAAUUAGUACUCGUUCCCCUCUUAUAUCAUAUGGAACGCAUAGAUAUUAUUCCCCUAAUAGGUAAUGGGUACUAAUUAGAUUACCAAGCCAAAGCCAAAAAUUACAACUAGUAAGGAAUAUGUCUUAGUAUCAUUCAUGUUAGGUGAUGGAAGAGUAUCCAAACCAUGGACAAAGUUGAUAAAGGUUCUUAUCAACUGGAACUUAUGGAGGAAUUGACUCAUUAAAUCCCCACUGAUUCAAUGGACCGAUGCUAAUGCAAUUUACUAUGCUAAACAACAAAAUUUGGGUCUGUGAUUUAAU